GCUCAGGAUGAACGCUAGCUACAGGCUUAACACAUGCAAGUCGAGGGGUAGCAGGGUAGCAAUACCGCUGACGACCGGCGCACGGGUGAGUAACACGUAUCCAACCUUCCCAUAACUCGGGGAUAGCCUUUCGAAAGAAAGAUUAAUACCUGAUAGUACUUAAGAAAGGCAUCUUUUUUAAGUUAAAGAUUUAUUGGUUAUGGAUGGGGAUGCGUUCCAUUAGAUAGUUGGUGAGGUAACGGCUCACCAAGUCUUCGAUGGAUAGGGGUUCUGAGAGGAAGGUCCCCCACAUUGGUACUGAGACACGGACCAAACUCCUACGGGAGGCAGCAGUGAGGAAUAUUGGUCAAUGGGCGAGAGCCUGAACCAGCCAAGUAG
rnacentral:rRNA from 1 species